UUAAAAGCGUUGAUAGAGACAUUUAUCUUUAGAUAAUUUUACAGAGAAUUGGGUAUGCUGAGAACCAAUGAAUUUAUAAAGAUAAAAAUCACUCUUGAGCUGCAGGCUGAACGAUUAAAUUCUACUAAGCUGUGCCGGUUAGUACCGUUAUACUAUUAGAGUGUUAUAUGUAGCUAGUAUUUAGUUUACAUAUAGAAUUAGGGUGGUAACGCGAUUUAUAACUCGUCCCUUUG
rfam:Clostridium difficile 630 complete genome